UAGGGAAUCUUCCGCAAUGGGCGAAAGCCUGACGGAGCAACGCCGCGUGAGUGAUGAAGGUCUUCGGAUCGUAAAACUCUGUUAUUAGGGAAGAACAUAUGUGUAAGUAACUGUGCACAUCUUGACGGUACCUAAUCAGAAAGCCACGGCUAACUACGUGCCAGCAGCCGCGGUAAUACGUAGGUGGCAAGCGUUAUCCGGAAUUAUUGGGCGUAAAGCGCGCGUAGGCGGUUUUUUAAGUCUGAUGUGAAAGCCCACGGCUCAACCGUGGAGGGUCAUUGGAAACUGGAAAACUUGAGUGCAGAAGAGGAAAGUGGAAUUCCAUGUGUAGCGGUGAAAUGCGCAGAGAUAUGGAGGAACACCAGUGGCGAAGGCGACUUUCUGGUCUGUAACUGACGCUGAUGUACGAAAGCGUGGGGAUCAAACAGGAUUAGAUACCCUGGUAGUCCACGCCGUAAACGAUGAGUGCUAAGUGUUAGGGGGUUUCCGCCCCUUAGUGCUGCAGCUAACGCAUUAAGCACUCCGCCUGGGGAGUACGACCGCAAGGUUG
rnacentral:rRNA from 1 species